rnacentral:lncRNA from 1 species
CGGGCAGGGCUGCUGGGGUUCUGGCGGUUUUGCCCUGUCUGCCUGGUGUGACUCCCUGGAGGAGACGGGCCGUGGAGAAUGGUGGAGAGUGGGAGCUGGGCAGGAUCUGGCUUCGGGCUUGCAGGUAAGCGACGUGGGCGAUCUGGAUGGAGGACACAGAUGCACACUUCGUUGGCCUCUGGAAUGAGGGCGAAGACUUUCCCACAAAGAACGGGGUGUGUUUCAGAAGGAAACCCACUUUUCCCAUUUGAGUCUCUUAAUAGAAAUGGUCUUCUCUGUCUUUGCAGUUUCCGUUGGCUUCCAGUGGUGACCUGGGUGCAGAAGGGAUUGCAUUUCCUUUGUCUCUAAGAAGGACAGAAGGCAGGGCCGGCCCAGAGCCCCCGGCCCUAACUCAGCCGGAGCCCAGCAUCUUCCCCCAAACUUGCGGAAGUGAAAGCAGGUGUUCCCGCCGGCUCUGAUGACAUCGGGGUAGGGGCACACUUGGGAGUUUCGAAUUAGCUUCUGAACUUGGGAACAGCUUUACAGCACCUGGGCCCUGGGGUCUCCGAGACCACCCUGCAGAUUUAAGAGGAAACGCAUCCUGUGCCUCACCAACCCCUAAGAGACAAGAGACGGACCCCUUGGACCCCGGGAGAGGAGAGUAUGUUGGGGGGCUGAUCGCUGACCCCACCACACAUGCAUUUCCUCCAUACACGAAAACCUGCUUAGCUGACAUUGAAUGCAACUCUUGGGUGUAAUUAUUUUCCCUAAAAAUGUGGAAAGAGUUUUAGAAUCCGCCUUUGAAAUGAUUAGGAAGGUUGAUUUCACAGUUUUCCCCUCGUCUUCUGGAGUCAAUAUUAUGAUCUUUUCUUCUUAGAUUUUAAACAUGUCUGAUGGCCCCUGAGAAUUCCCGCGAGCCCACUGGUCUGGGUUGGAAGAGGCGGGAGAGGGAGGCGGAGGGGGUGUGUUCGGACAAGGGUGUGGGGACGGAACCGCUCGCCCAGGAACGUCUGAUCGCUCGCCCGCCUUCGCAGCCCCAGCCUCCGCCUCUGCAGUCUUCCCGCCGGUCCGCAGGGUCCCCGGGGAGCCCGCCCGCUCCCCCAUCCCAGGCUGCAGCGCGUGAGUGGGAGGCUGUGGGUCCCCCGAAGUCCAGAUCAAAGUGUGGUGGACGGGAUGACUCCCAGAACUGGAGAAAAUGGAUGCAGAGCCUUGGGGCCGGCGCUGUGGCGUAGCGGGUAAAGCCGCCGUCUGCGGUGCUGGCAUCCUAUAUGGGCGUCUGUCGGAGUCCCGGCUGCUCCACCUCUGAUCCCCGCCUCCUGCUCAUGGCCUAAGAAAACAGCAGAAGACUGCCCAA